rnacentral:lncRNA from 1 species
UACAAAGUGCUCCAUUAUUGAGAUGUUUUGUGGCUGGAAAUUAAGUGGAUUAAUAGCCACAUUUGUUGUCACUUUAUCAGCCUAUAAAUAGAGGCUUGAACUUGUGUUGUAAAGGAAGAAAAAUGAGAAGAAAAAAGAAAUAAGAGAAGCAACGUGAGUGAGAGUGAGAAGGUUAGCAAACCUUGAGUGAGUUAAAAUCUAGCAGCAGCUAGACUAUCUAGUCAUUGAGAAAAUAUUUGUAAUCUUCGUAUUGUAAUAUAUUGAGUGUGUAAUAAAAAGUAAAUUUUCAGCCCAUCACGUUUCCAACAU